rnacentral:rRNA from 1 species
GAUGAACGCUGGCGGCGUGCUUAACACAUGCAAGUCGAACGGAAAGGCCGAAGCUUGCUUCGGUACUCGAGUGGCGAACGGGUGAGUAACACGUGGGUGAUCUGCCCUGUACUUCGGGAUAAGCUUGGGAAACUGGGUCUAAUACCGGAUAUGACGAUCUCUUGGAUGGGGUUGUGGAAAGCUUUUGCGGUAUGGGAUGAGCUCGCGGCCUAUCAGCUUGUUGGUGGGGUAAUGGCCUACCAAGGCGUCGACGGGUAGCCGGCCUGAGAGGGUGUACGGCCACAUUGGGACUGAGAUACGGCCCAGACUCCUACGGGAGGCAGCAGUGGGGAAUAUUGCACAAUGGGCGCAAGCCUGAUGCAGCGACGCCGCGUGGGGGAUGACUGCCUUCGGGUUGUAAACUCCUUUCGCAAUCGACGAAGCCUUUUGGUGACGGUAGGUUGAGAAGAAGCACCGGCUAACUACGUG